AUUGAACGCUGGCGGCAGGCCUAACACAUGCAAGUCGAACGAGUGGCGGACGGGUGAGUAAUGUCUGGGAAACUGCCUGAUGGAGGGGGAUAACUACUGGAAACGGUAGCUAAUACCGCAUACCAUCAGAUGUGCCCAGAUGGGAUUAGCUAGUGGGUGGGGUAAAGGCUCACCAAGGCGACGAUCCCUAGCUGGUCUGAGAGGAUGACCAUCCACACUGGAACUGAUACACGGUCCAGACGCCUACGGGAGGCAGCAGUGGGGAAUAUUGCACAAUGGGCGCAAGCCUGAUGCAGCCAUGCCGCGUGUAUGAAGAAGGCCUUCGGGUUGUAAAGUACGUUCAGCGGGGAGGCGUUACCCGCAGAAGAAGCACCGGCUAACUCCGUGCCAGCAGCCGCGGUAAUUC
rnacentral:rRNA from 1 species